rnacentral:rRNA from 1 species
UCAGAAAACCAAUUUUCUUUGGUUGAUUGGCUUGGAUAAGACUAGGAAGCAGGACAUUGAUGACUGCGACACUUGCCCCAACCAUCAAGGUUCCUAGAUAGAGCAGGGGCAGAUUGAUUAGUCGAAUGAGUGAGCCGAUGGUCAAGAAGAAGAGGCUGUAGGUGAAGAGAUGCUCCAAGCCGAUUUUCUGAGCCAGUCGGGUAGAAAAUGGUGAAAAGAGGGUAAACAUAAGGAGAGGCAGGCUGGUCAAGACACCAAGCGAACUAACUUCUACCUCCAGACCUUGCGAAAUAUUUCCCAAAAUAAUGGGUAAAACAGUAAAAGGAGUUCGCAAGGAAACACCAAUCAGGAUAAUACCUGGAACAAAAAAGAGUGAUUGCUUUUUCAUAUAAUACCUCUUCUAGCUGAUUUUAAUAACAGCUUAUUUUAAGGCUUUUUCACUAUAAUGUCAAGUAAGGUUUCUGGCUUUCAAGAUAAAAAUGGGAAAGUCUUGAAAAUUAUGAUAGAAUGGUGGAAGGAAAAAUUCAGGAGAGUAGUAGUGACUCAAAAUGUUGAAAGUCUUCUCGUAUCCAUUGUAAUCAGUGCAUACAAUGAAGAAAAAUAUCUGCCUGGUCUAAUUGAAGACUUAAAAAAUCAAACUUAUCCUAAAGAGAAUAUUGAAAUUCUAUUUAUAAAUGCUAUGUCCACAGAUGGGACCACAGCUAUCAUUCAGCAAUUUAUAAAGGAAGAUACAGAGUUUAACUCAAUUAGAUUGUAUAACAAUCCUAAGAAAAAUCAAGCUAGUGGUUUUAACCUGGGAGUUAAACAUUCUGUAGGGGACCUUAUUUUAAAAAUUGAUGCUCAUUCAAAAGUUACUGAGAGUUUUGUAAUGAACAAUGUGGCUAUUAUUCAACAAGGUGAAUUUGUCUGUGGGGGGCCUAGACCGACGAUUGUCGAAGGAAAAGGAAAAUGGGCAGAGACCUUGCAUCUUGUUGAGGAAAAUAUGUUUGGCAGUAGCAUUGCCAAUUAUCGAAAUAGUUCUGAGGAUAGAUAUGUUUCUUCUAUUUUUCAUGGAAUGUAUAAACGAGAGGUUUUCCAGAAGGUUGGUUUAGUAAAUGAGCAACUUGGCCGAACUGAAGAUAAUGAUAUUCAUUAUAGAAUUCGAGAAUAUGGUUAUAAAAUCCGCUAUAGCCCAAGUAUUCUAUCUUAUCAGUAUAUUCGACCAACAUUCAAGAAAAUGCUGCAUCAAAAGUAUUUAAAUGGUUUGUGGAUUGGCUUGACAAGUCAUGUUCAGUUUAAGUGUUUAUCAUUAUUUCACUAUGUUCCUUGUUUAUUUGUUUUGAGUCUUGUGUUUAGUCUAGCAUUGUUACCGAUCACAUUCGUAUUCAUAACUUUACUAUUAGGUGCCUAUUUUCUACUUUUGUCACUACUCACUUUGCUGACUUUAUUAAAACAUAAAAAUGGAUUUCUAAUUGUGAUGCCCUUUCUUUUAUUUUCCAUUCACUUUGCUUAUGGCUUUGGGACGAUUGUAGGUUUAAUUAGAGGAUUUAAAUGGAAGAAGGAGUACAAGAGAACAAUAAUUUAUUUGGAUAAAAUAAGCCAAAUAAACAAAAAUAUGCUAUAAUAACAAUAUAGUAAAACUCUUUUAAGGAGGAGUAGAUUUCUAUGAAUAAAAAACUAACAGAUUAUGUGAUUGAUCUGGUGGAAAUUUUAAAUAAACAACAAAAGCAGGUUUUCUGGGGAAUAUUUGAUAUUUUCAGUAUGGUGGUUUCCAUCAUUGUAUCUUAUAUUUUAUUUUAUGGGCUGAUUAAUCCAGCACCUGUUGACUACAUUAUCUAUACGAGUUUGGCCUUCCUGUUCUAUCAAUUGAUGAUUGGUUUUUGGGGGUUGAACGCGAGCAUUAGUCGUUACAGCAAGAUUACGGAUUUCAUGAAAAUCUUUUUUGGUGUGACUGCUAGCAGUGUCUUGUCAUAUAGUAUCUGUUAUGCCUUCUUGCCACUCUUCUCCAUCCGUUUCAUCAUUCUCUUUAUCUUGUUGAGUACCUUCUUGAUUUUAUUGCCACGGAUUACUUGGCAGUUAAUCUACUCCAGACGCAAAAAAGGUAGUGGUGAUGGAGAACACCGUCGGACCUUCUUGAUUGGUGCCGGUGAUGGUGGGGCUCUCUUUAUGGAUAGUUACCAACAUCCAACCAGUGAAUUAGAACUGGUCGGUAUUUUGGAUAAGGAUUCUAAGAAAAAGGGUCAAAAACUUGGUGGUAUUCCUGUUUUGGGCUCUUAUGACAAUCUGCCUGAAUUAGCCAAACGCCAUCAAAUCGAGCGUGUCAUCGUUGCGAUUCCGUCGCUGGAUCCGUCAGAAUAUGAGCGUAUCUUGCAGAUGUGUAAUAAGCUGGGUGUCAAAUGUUACAAGAUGCCUAAGGUUGAAACUGUUGUUCAGGGCCUUCACCAAGCAGGUACUGGCUUCCAAAAAAUUGAUAUUACGGACCUUUUGGGUCGUCAGGAAAUCCGUCUUGACGAAUCGCGUCUGGGUGCAGAACUGACAGGUAAGACCAUCUUAGUCACAGGAGCUGGAGGUUCAAUCGGUUCUGAAAUCUGUCGUCAAGUUAGUCGCUUCAAUCCUGAACGCAUUGUCUUGCUCGGUCAUGGGGAAAACUCAAUCUACCUUGUUUAUCAUGAAUUGAUUCGUAAGUUCCAAGGGAUUGAUUAUGUACCUGUGAUUGCGGACAUUCAAGACUAUGAUCGUUUGUUGCAAGUCUUUGAGCAGUACAAACCUGCUAUUGUUUAUCAUGCGGCAGCCCACAAGCAUGUUCCUAUGAUGGAGCGCAAUCCAAAAGAAGCCUUCAAAAACAAUAUCCGUGGAACUUACAAUGUUGCUAGAGCCGUUGAUGAAGCCAAGGUGCCUAAGAUGGUUAUGAUUUCGACAGAUAAGGCAGUUAAUCCACCAAAUGUUAUGGGAGCAACCAAGCGCGUGGCGGAGUUGAUUGUCACUGGCUUUAACCAACGUAGCCAAUCAACCUACUGUGCAGUUCGUUUUGGGAAUGUUCUUGGUAGCCGUGGUAGUGUCAUUCCAGUCUUUGAACGUCAGAUUGCUGAAGGUGGGCCUGUAACGGUGACAGACUUCCGCAUGACCCGUUACUUUAUGACCAUUCCAGAAGCUAGCCGUCUGGUUAUCCAUGCUGGUGCUUAUGCCAAAGAUGGGGAAGUCUUUAUCCUUGAUAUGGGCAAACCAGUCAAGAUUUAUGACUUGGCCAAGAAGAUGGUGCUUCUAAGUGGCCACACGGAAAGUGAAAUUCCAAUCGUUGAAGUUGGAAUCCGCCCAGGUGAAAAACUCUACGAAGAACUCUUGGUAUCAACCGAACUCGUUGACAAUCAAGUUAUGGAUAAGAUUUUCGUUGGUAAGGUUAAUGUCAUGCCUUUAGAAUCCAUCAAUCAAAAGAUUGGAGAGUUCCGCACUCUCAGUGGAGAUGAGUUGAAGCAAGCUAUUAUCGCCUUUGCUAAUCAAACAACCCACAUUGAAUAAAAAAGAAAAACGCAUAUUAUCAAGUUUGUUAACCUUGGUACUAUGCGUUUUAUUAUGUAGAAACUUAUACUCUUCGAAAAUCUCUUCAAACCACGUCAACGUCGCCUUGCCGUAGGUAUAUGUUACUGACUUCGUCAGUUCUAUCUGCAACCUUAAAACAGUGUUUUGAGCUGACUUCGUCAGUUCUAUCCACAACCUCAAAACAGUGUUUUGAGCUGACUUCGUCAGUUCUAUCCACAACCUCAAAACAGUGUUUUGAGCUGACUUCGUCAGUUCUAUCNCAGUAGGCUAACUAAAGCAGACGAUUGGAAGAGUCUGUCUAAGCAGUGAGGUGUGAAUUGAGUCAAAUGCUUAAUUCUAUAACAUUGAGCUGUGAUGGGGAGCGAAGUUUAGUAGCGAAGUUAGUGACGUCACACUGCCAAGAAAAGCUUCUAGCGUUUAAACAUACUCUACCCGUACCGCAAACCGACACAGGUAGUCGAGGCGAGUAGCCUCAGGUGAGCGAGAGAACUCUCGUUAAGGAACUCGGCAAAAUGACCCCGUAACUUCGGGAGAAGGGGUGCUGACUUUAAGUCAGCCGCAGUGAAUAGGCCCAAGCAACUGUUUAUCAAAAACACAGCUCUCUGCUAAAUCGUAAGAUGAUGUAUAGGGGGUGACGCCUGCCCGGUGCUGGAAGGUUAAGAGGAGUGCUUAGCGUAAGCGAAGGUAUGAAUUGAAGCCCCAGUAAACGGCGGCCGUAACUAUAACGGUCCUAAGGUAGCGAAAUUCCUUGUCGGGUAAGUUCCGACCCGCACGAAAGGCGUAAUGAUUUGGGCACUGUCUCAACGAGAGACUCGGUGAAAUUUUAGUACCUGUGAAGAUGCAGGUUACCCGCGACAGGACGGAAAGACCCCAUGGAGCUUUACUGCAGUUUGAUAUUGAGUGUCUGUACCACAUGUACAGGAUAGGUAGGAGUCUAAGAGAUCGGGACGCCAGUUUCGAAGGAGACGCUGUUGGGAUACUACCCUUGUGUUAUGGCCACUCUAACCCAGAUAGGUGAUCCCUAUCGGAGACAGUGUCUGACGGGCAGUUUGACUGGGGCGGUCGCCUCCUAAAAGGUAACGGAGGCGCCCAAAGGUUCCCUCAGAAUGGUUGGAAAUCAUUCGCAGAGUGUAAAGGUAUAAGGGAGCUUGACUGCGAGAGCUACAACUCGAGCAGGGACGAAAGUCGGGCUUAGUGAUCCGGUGGUUCCGUAUGGAAGGGCCAUCGCUCAACGGAUAAAAGCUACCCUGGGGAUAACAGGCUUAUCUCCCCCAAGAGUUCACAUCGACGGGGAGGUUUGGCACCUCGAUGUCGGCUCGUCGCAUCCUGGGGCUGUAGUCGGUCCCAAGGGUUGGGCUGUUCGCCCAUUAAAGCGGCACGCGAGCUGGGUUCAGAACGUCGUGAGACAGUUCGGUCCCUAUCCGUCGCGGGCGUAGGAAAUUUGAGAGGAUCUGCUCCUAGUACGAGAGGACCAGAGUGGACUUACCGCUGGUGUACCAGUUGUCUUGCCAAAGGCAUCGCUGGGUAGCUAUGUAGGGAAGGGAUAAACGCUGAAAGCAUCUAAGUGUGAAACCCACCUCAAGAUGAGAUUUCCCAUGAUUAUAUAUCAGUAAGAGCCCUGAGAGAUGAUCAGGUAGAUAGGUUAGAAGUGGAAGUGUGGCGACACAUGUAGCGGACUAAUACUAAUAGCUCGAGGACUUAUCCAA